AAUCAACGCUGGCGGCGUGCCUCAGACAUGCAAGUCGAACGCGAAAGUCCCCUUCGGGGGAUGAUUAGAGUGGCGCACGGGUGAGUAACACGUAGGUAAUCUACCUUCGAGUGGGGAAUAACUCAGGGAAACUUGAGCUAAUACCGCAUAAUGCAGCGGCACCACAUGGUGACAGUUGUUAAAGCAUUUAUGCGCUUGAAGAGGAGCCUGCGGCGGAUAGCUAGUUGGUAAGGUAAUGGCUUACCAAGGCUACGAUCUGUAACCGGCCUGAGAGGGCGGACGGGUCACACUGACACUGAAUAACGGGUCAGACUCCUACGGGAGGCAGCAGUCGGGAAUUUUGGGCAAUGGGCGAAAGCCUGACCCAGCAACGCCGCGUGAAGGAUGAAAU
rnacentral:rRNA from 1 species